rnacentral:lncRNA from 1 species
UAAGCGAAGCAGCCUUGGCUUCCUUUGACGCUCAAGGUCUAUGUUAUCUUUCCUGCUCAGUACUUUUCUCCCCUGAAGUUUAAAAAUACCGGUCUCUCUUGCUGACUUUUUGUUUUCUUGGUCUUUUCCGCUGUGCUCUUUUGAGAAAUUUGCUGCCAUUCAGUAAAUGAUCCUCACGUGAUAGACGAGGAAACCGAAGACAAGAGAAGGUGACACUGAGGAAUUCCUUGUCCAAUCUCUUCCUGAAACCUGCAGCAGAUGUAGCGAUCAUUGCAGAAACCACAACCAAUCAAAAUACGGAGAAGAGACCAUGCAGUGCCCAGUCGCAGCCAAUACAUCGUCAACACAGUUCCUGCACCGAAGGCUCAGUGCUCAUUGCAGAAGAGGAAAUGGAAAGAUUAUAAGCCAAAGGAUCAAUUAGACUUCAAAAACUAAAAUAAAAUAUAGAAG